rnacentral:rRNA from 1 species
UACGUAGGGGGCCAGCGUUGUUCGGAAUUACUGGGUGUAAAGGGUUCGUAGGCGGUGCGGCAAGUUGGGAGUGAAAUCUCUGGGCUUAACCCAGAGGCUGCUUUCAAAACUGCUGUGCUUGAGUGUGAGAGAGGCUCGUGGAAUUGCAGGUGUAGCGGUGAAAUGCGUAGAUAUCUGCAGGAACACCCGUGGCGAAAAGCGGCGAGCUGGAUCACUACUGACGUGAGGAACGAAAGCUAGGGGGAGCAAACAGG